rnacentral:lncRNA from 1 species
GAAAAAGCUAGAAGGGAAAACAGCAUUCAACUUAGAGCUAAAGUUCACAAAGCCCAACAAACCACCAGCUACAGAAAAAGGAAACCACACUACAAGGUUACAAUAAGUCUCAUUGUGGCAACUGGAUUCUCGUUUUUAGGGUUCAUUAUUUUUGCGAUCGUAACAGCAUUUGAAGUGUCGAAUUCACCUUUUAGACAUGCUACCAUUACAGGUGUUAUGAAGCGUGGAAUUUUCAUAAAUAACGCAUGCAAUCCUGUAGUAUAUUUUAUUUGUGACAUAACAUUUAGACAUGCUUGCAAAAAACUGUAUUUAUGUAUAAGAAGAUGAGCUAACAAACAAAGGUGUGUACAGAUUUUGUCUCAUGGAUUGGAAUAUGUAUCUCUUCGUUUCCUAAACAAAUGUUUUAUUUUUGUCUAAUUUUGGAUUUAUAUUUAAAUAUUUUGUUCACCAAAAAUGCUCUUAAUUAGAAGCAACAUUACAAAUAAAGGUUAAAAAAACUGCUUAGAGAAUCACAUGAACUAGAAAAGAGCAACACAUGGUUCAUCAAAUGGUAAACAUUUCCUAGUGUGUAUACAUCACUUGUCAUGUGAAUCAAUAAAACUAUAUUUGAACGAUUUGAAAAAUUAAAAAAAAAUGGUUUUGCCCAAUAAAUGACAUGUAUUUAAUGUUUUCAACCC